GACAGAGGUGCCAAGCGUUAGGCGGAAUCACUGGGCUUAAAGCGUGUGUAGGCGGAAUGGUAAGUACCUUGUGAAAUCCCACGGCUCAACCGUGGAACUGCUUGGUAUACUGCUUUUCUUGAGCCACUUAGGGGCAACCGGAACAAACGGUGGAGCGGUGAAAUGCGUAGAUAUCGGGAGGAACAUCAGUGGCGAAGGCGGCUACCUGGCCCAAUACUGACACUCAGGUGCGACAGCGUGGGGAGCAAACAGG
rnacentral:rRNA from 1 species